UCAAGUAAUGAAGUGCACAUGGUGGAUGCCUUGGCAGUCAGAGGCGAUGAAAGACGUGACAGCCUGCGAAAAGCGUCGGGGAGGCGGCAAUAUCCUGUGAUCCGGCGAUAUCUGAAUGGGGAAACCCACUUGUCAUAAGACAGGUAUCGUAAAUUUAUUUACGAGGCAAACCGGGAGAAGUGAAACAUCUCAGUAACCCGAGGAAAAGACAUCAAUAGAGAUUCCCCUAGUAGCGGCGAGCGAACGGGGAGGAGCCGACUGAUUAUAAUUUAGAGGAAUGACUUGGAAAGGUCAAUCGUAGAGGGUGAUAAUCCCGUACUCGAAAGGUUAUAAGAAGCAUAUUAAGUAGGGCGGAACACGAGAAAUUCUGUCUGAAGAUGGGGGACCAUCCUCCAAGGCUAAAUACUCCUGACUGACCGAUAGUGAACCAGUACCGUGAGGGAAAGGCGAAAAGAACCCCUGUGAGGGGAGUGAAAUAGAACCUGAAACCGUGUGCAUACAAGCAGUCGGAGCGGACAUGUUCCGUGACGGCGUACCUUUUGUAUAAUGGGUCAGCGACUUAUAUUCUGUAGCAAGGUUAACCGAAUAGGGGAGCCGUAGGGAAACCGAGUACUUAAUAGGGCGUCUAGUUGCAGGGUAUAGACCCGAAACCGAGUGAUCUAUCCAUGAGCAGGUUGAAAGUGACGUAACAGUUACCGGAGGACCGAACCCACUGUCGUUGAAAAGCCAGGGGAUGACUUGUGGAUAGGGGUGAAAGGCUAAUCAAACUCGGUGAUAGCUGGUUCUCCCCGAAAGCUAUUUAGGUAGCGCCUCGGACGAACACCAUUGGGGGUAGAGCACUGUUUCGGCUAGGGGGUCAUCCCGACUUACCAAACCGAUGCAAACUCCGAAUACCGAUGAGUGAUAUCCGGGAGACAGACGGCGGGUGCUAACGUCCGUCGUCAAGAGGGAAACAACCCAGACCGCCAGCUAAGGCCCCAAAUUCCUAGUUAAGUGGGAAACGAUGUGGGAAGGCACAGACAGCUAGGAGGUUGGCUUAGAAGCAGCCACCCUUUAAAGAAAGCGUAAUAGCUCACUAGUCGAGUCGGCCUGCGCGGAAGAUGUAACGGGGCUCAAACUAGGAGCCGAAGCUGCGGAUUUAAUUGUUUCAAUUAAGUGGUAGGGGAGCAUUGUGUAAGCCUGUGAAGGUGUGUUGUAAAGCAUGCUGGAGGUAUCACAAGAGCGAAUGCUGACGUGAGUAACGACAAAACGGGUGAAAAGCCCGUUCGCCGGAAGACCAAGGGUUCCAGUCCAACGUUAAUCGGGGCUGGGUGAGUCGACCCCUAAGGCGAGGCCGAAAGGCGUAGUCGAUGGGAAAUCGGUUAAUAUUCCGAUACUUGUUUAUGAUGCGAUGGAGGGACGGAGAAGGUUAUGCCAGCUUGGCGAUGGUUGUCCAAGUGGAAGGAUGUAGUUAGGUUUAGUAGGCAAAUCCGCUAGACUAUUAAUGAGAUCUGAUAGCAAGCUGUACUUGUACAGCGAAGUGGCAAAUACCCUGCUUCCAGGAAAAGCUUCUAAGCGAUAGUCAUAAAGAAAUCGUACCCGAAACCGACACAGGUGGUCAGGUAGAGAAUACCAAGGCGCUUGAGAGAACUCUGCUGAAGGAACUAGGCAAAAUGGUACCGUAACUUCGGGAGAAGGUACGCUGCCGAUGGUGAGUAGUCACGCACUACAAAGCUAUUGGCAGUCGCAGAUACCAGGCCGCUGCAACUGUUUAUUAAAAACACAGCACUCUGCAAACACGAAAGUGGACGUAUAGGGUGUGAUGCCUGCCCGGUGCUGGAAGGUUAAUUGAUGGGGUUAGCGUAAGCGAAGCUCUUGAUCGAAGCCCCAGUAAACGGCGGCCGUAACUAUAACGGUCCUAAGGUAGCGAAAUUCCUUGUCGGGUAAGUUCCGACCUGCACGAAUGGCAUAAUGAUGGCGGCGCUGUCUCCAGCAGAGACUCAGUGAAAUCGAAAUCGCAGUGAAGAUGCUGUGUACCCGCGGCUAGACGGAAAGACCCCGUGAACCUUUACUACAGCUUUACAUUGAACUUUGACCUUACCUGUGUAGGAUAGGUGGGAGGCUUUGAAGCAGGCACGCCAGUGUCUGUGGAGCCAUCCUUGAAAUACCACCCUGGUAAUGUUGGGGUUCUAACUCAAGCUUAACAGAGCUGAGGACAAUGUAUGGUGGGUAGUUUGACUGGGGCGGUCUCCUCCUAAAGAGUAACGGAGGAGUACGAAGGUGCGCUCAGAACGGUCGGAAAUCGUUCGAAGAGUAUAAAGGCAAAAGCGCGCUUAACUGCGAGACCCACAAGUCGAGCAGAUACGAAAGUAGGUCUUAGUGAUCCGGUGGUUCUGUAUGGAAGGGCCAUCGCUCAACGGAUAAAAGGUACUCUGGGGAUAACAGGCUGAUACCGCCCAAGAGUUCAUAUCGACGGCGGUGUUUGGCACCUCGAUGUCGGCUCAUCUCAUCCUGGGGCUGAAGCAGGUCCCAAGGGUAUGGCUGUUCGCCAUUUAAAGAGGUACGCGAGCUGGGUUUAGAACGUCGUGAGACAGUUCGGUCCCUAUCUACCGUGGGCGUUGGAAAUUUGAGAGGAUCUGCUCCUAGUACGAGAGGACCAGAGUGGACGAACCUCUGGUGUUUCGGUUGUGACGCCAGUCGCAUUGCCGAGUAGCUAUGUUCGGAUGGGAUAACCGCUGAAAGCAUCUAAGCGGGAAGCCCACCUUAAGAUUAGAUUUCCCUAAAGAGCCGUUGUAGACUACGACGUUGAUAGGUUGGGUGUGGAAGCAUAGUGAUAUGUGUAGCUAACCAAUACUAAUUGCUCGUUUGGCUUGA
rnacentral:rRNA from 1 species